AUGAAUGAGGCUGAUAUGAAAAAUUUAGGGAUCUUAGCCCUUGAGAGCUUAUGUAAUGACCUCAUGCCUAUUUCAGAAGCGGUAGUAGAAAUAGAAGGGUCAGAGAUCGAGGACAAUGUAGAGCUUUUAGUGGUAGAAUGUAUUGCCUCGAGUCACUCUGGUAAUAAGCAUACGAAGGGUGUGGAGGAUAAGCCCAAGCAUUCCUGGAAAAGGAAGGUUUAUCCUACUUUGGUUGUUUGUAGAAAUGUUAGGAUUAAGCUUAAGAAAAAAAUCAUGAUGAUCUAUGAAAGGGGUCUUUUGAAAUAG
rnacentral:rRNA from 1 species